GCUUACGACCAUACCACGUUGAAUGCACGCCAUCCCCGUCCGAUCUGGGCAAGUUAAGCAACGUUGGGACCUGGUUAGUACUUGGAUCGGGAGACGGCUUGGGAAUCCCAGGUGUUGUAAGCU
rnacentral:rRNA from 1 species